rnacentral:lncRNA from 15 species
GACCAAUCUGGAUGUGAAAUAUUUUUUUUUAAUAUUUAUACCCCAAACCACAAUUUGCAGUACAAUAUACAAUAUAUAGUCCUGCUGUAGUGUUUGUAACAGGUAAAAAAUAUGAUAUGAUAUAAUAUAAUAUAAUAUUUCAAUGUUGGAAUGCGGGAAAAAAAUUAUUAGCUGCAGACUGACAAUGACAUUAACAACAACAAAAAAAAACUAAGGAAAUUUGGAAAUAAUUUCAGCUUUGUAAGUACAAUAAUGUUAUCAGCUCUAGUAGUCAGUGAGAAAAGCGUUGUAUGGAGAUGUCUACCUCCAAAUCAAGUUUAAGUAAAAGCUUUGUCCAAUAGAGGGUCCUUCUCACAGCUCUGUGUCCAACUGCUAAUAAUCCUUACAGGUGCGCACCACUUCGGGUGUGUGUGUUUUUUUCUUCCCUUUCCUAUUCCCGUUUUGGCUAAGGUGUUAACAGAUGUUCCCAUGACCAGACAGUUUCCAGUUGGGGUCACUCACUCUGUCAAUGAGUCUAGGCGAACAGUCUGUGGGAAUCGCCCAGGGAGUGUGCGAUUACAAAUGCAAAGGACAGUGAAGGAGAAGGUGUGGGGUCUCCAGUUGACGGCUCCUGUGAGAGCCCCAAUGAGGGUUUUUAACAAGAUGAGCAGUGAGGACCGAGUUACCAUACCUAGACUCUCUCCGUCUGCAUAUUCCUGUGAGAAGAUGCUUUUUUUUAAAUCUCAAAGCAUGAUAAAAAUAACAUACUUUGUGUCUGUUUCUGUCAUGGUAUGGCAUUUGGAAGGCAGUGGCUCAUAUAACUGGAAACAGUGGUGUCAAUUAAUCAAGUGUUUAUAGGCCGUGCUCUACAAGACAUCAAAGUUUACUGCUCUCAGCAGAGAUGGCUAUUUGAAACAUAGGCAGACUCUGCAGACCUAUGUUAUGUUCAUUACUCUAUUCAAGUGUCUAACAUGCUGAAACUUUAUUUUCUUUAUUAUACGCUACAAAUACCUAGUGAGUUUACAGAGAAGAAGGCACAUUUUCUUGGAGUGUGUGAGAUCUUAUCAUAUCAUACUACUUGUAAUAAAUAACACUCUAUAACUCAGUCACCAUCCAGUCCUCUCCCUGUGCUCUCACGCCGCACUGAAUUGAUAUGCAGUCUAAUCAUCUGCUAGGAGCUGAUGUGAUGUAAAUGAAAGUAAUUAGGGAAAUGUCAAACAUAAUUAAUAAAACAGGUUUAAGUUCUGAAAACACUUGUCAGUGGAAUGAAUGAAGAUUUCGCCUCUUGUCUCCCUGAUGCUGCCCUCCCUUUUUGCCGCUGUUCAAUUAGGUCACAGAUUGCUCCUAAGUUACCGCUCCCCUCUCACUUUCCCUUUUACCCUCCAUCUCUUGUUCUCACAGCCUUUCCAAUUCUAUGCAUGGAGACCUUUUGAGAAAGGAGGGGGAGCCACCAUCCUGUGGAAGGGAAAUAAAUUUGCCUGUCCAUCCACCGCCUGGAUGAAAUUAAUUGCAGACUCCUCAUGCUGUCUGGGUACAACUGGGGCAUUAACAUAAGCAAUUUGCGUCCAACUUCUUCUGCUGGCUGUUUAAUAGAGCAUCGG